rnacentral:lncRNA from 1 species
UUUCCCCGCAGGUGCAUCGACAUCCUGGAGCUGUGGGAGCGCGAGGAGCUGCUGCAGUUCCAGUGCCACACGCUGCGGCUGUACUGCGCCGUGUGCGCGCUGGGCAACAACCGCGUGGCCCACGCGCUCUGCAGCCACGUGGACCAGGCCCAGCUGCUCUUCGCCAUCGAGAGCCCCGAGCUGCCGGGCCCGCUGCGGGCCGGCUACUACGACCUGCUGCUGGCCAUGCACCUGGACGCGGCGCAGCGCGCCCGCUCCUCCAUGAGCGCCGAGUUCAUCGUGCCCAUCACCGAGGCCACGCGCGCCAUCGCGCUCUUCCCCGACGGCGGCCGCUGCCCGGGACCCCGUGGGGGGAAGCGUGGAGUUCCAGUUGGUGCCCGUGCUCAAGCUGGUGUCGGCGCUGCUGGCGGUGGGAGCGCUGGGCGACGGCGACGUGCGCCGCGUGCUCCGCAUGAUCGAGCCACGCGUCUUCGGGGACGCGCGCGGCGACGGCGAGGGACGGCGGGAGGAAGGGCAGGAGGAGGAGGAGGAGGAGGAGGGCGUGAAGGCCAUCGAGGCUGGCGAGGAGGAGGAGGAGGAGGAGGAUGAGGAGGCGAGGAGGAAAAAGGCUAUGGAGGCUGGAGAGCUGGAGGAGGAGGAGGAGGAGGAGGAAGAAGUGAGGAGGAGGAAGGCCAUCGAGGCUGGAGAGCUGCAGGAGGAGGAGGAGGAUGAGGAGGAGGCCAGGAGGACGAAGGCAAUUGAGGCCGGGGAGGUGCAGGAGGAGGAGGAAGAGAAGGAGGAAGAGCUGGAGGAGGGGCUGCUGCAGAUGAAGCUGCCAGAGUCGGUCAAGCUGCAGAUGUGCCACCUGCUGCAGCACCUGUGCGAGCGGGAGCUGCAGCACCGCGUGGAGGCCAUCGUGGCCUUCUCGGA